rnacentral:rRNA from 1 species
CAGUAGCCGCGGUAAUACAGAGGGUGCAAGCGUUAAUCGGAUUUACUGGGCGUAAAGCGUGCGUAGGCGGUUCGUUAAGUCUGUUGUGAAAGCCCCGGGCUCAACCUGGGAAUGGCAAUGGAUACUGGCGAGCUAGAGUGUGUCAGAGGAUGGUGGAAUUCCCGGUGUAGCGGUGAAAUGCGUAGAGAUCGGGAGGAACAUCAGUGGCGAAGGCGGCCAUCUGGGACAACACUGACGCUGAGGCACGAAAGCGUGGGGAGCAAACAGGAUUAGAUACCCGAGUAGUCCCUGUCUCUUAUAA